CCCUUAGAUGUCCUGGGCCGCACGCGCGUUACACUGAUGCACUCAACGAGCAUAUAACCUUGGCCGAGAGGCCUGGGUAAUCUUGUUAACAUGCAUCGUGAUAGGGAUAGAUUAUUGCAAUUAUUAAUCUUGAACGAGGAAUUCCUAGUAAUCGCGGAUCAUCAAUCCGCAAUGAUUACGUCCCUGCCCUUUGUACACACCGCCCGUCGCACCUACCGAUUGGAUGGUCCGGUGAGGCUUUGGGAUCUGAGCGGAAAGAGCGUUUCGCUGUUUCUGCCCGGAAAACUCAGUCGAACCUUAUCAUUUAGAGGAAGGAGAAGUCGUAACA
rnacentral:rRNA from 1 species